CUAGCAGCCCCCGGAAGCCAGUCUGUCCGACGCCUCCCGACCAGCCCGUCGCUCCCCGACGCCGGCGUGCGCUGCAGCCCCGCACGCGUCCCGCACCUGCCCCACUCUUUGCCUAUCCCCCGGGACUACGAGACCGGGAGAAACAUGUGAGAUGUUAAACUGAUGUGGUUGGUUGUGAAGGGAGCUUGUGGCCCUGCCAGAGCUGAAAGCAGUCAACUCAUGCUGAGAGGAAGCCACGCUGACAGGAAAUCAUGCUGAAAGAUAAAGGUUAGAGAGUGUAAGCAUUGCCUGCAGCCUCACAUCUUGGCUUCUUCAUGAAGAAUACCACGUUUUUCAAACUUUCCAGAAGAUAACUAUAAAGAAAUCACUGGGUCAGGUUCUCCCCUCCCAUGGUCUCCCAUUAUUGGCUCGGAUCAGGUCUGAAGGUGAGAAGAUGUCUCUCUCUUUUUCUCACUCUUGCUCUAGCUCUUGCUCUUGUUCUCCCUCUCACUCUGUCUCUUCCUAUAUGACUUGGCCAUUUAGACAGGCCCAGUGGUUUCAUGAAUAACUAAACAUAAGAAGUCAAGAGAGGCCUGGCUCAGAGAGCACGAACCACAUCAGACUUUUGAAGUUCCCUUAGUGUAUCAAAGCAAAACAAAAACCAUCUCAAACUGGUUUGCAAACACUGUGGGAUAUCUUGUGUUUUCAUAUAGCAAAUGGAUGCAUUUAAUACUUAGAACUUAAAUGCAGAAUCACGUUUGGUGCUAGUGUUAUGUGCCAUUUGAUUUAUGGCACUAGUGUGCUACUAUCAUUUGAGGCCCUUAAUGGAUGUGAGGUGUAAUCCAUUUCUACUCACUCUUGAUAGAUUCUGACCUAUAGAGGCAGAAAAAUGGGGUGGGAGAGACCUCUGGGACCACGAGAUUAACACCUUCCACUUUAAAUUAGACACUUCACUACAACAGUCCUAGGAGACUAUGCCAGCCUUAGCUUGACUCCUUCCAGCACUGGCUCCUCCUAUU